GAAGCAUGACGAACAAGAACUCAAAGGAUCCUACCACACAAUUAAAAGAACAUAUCAACCAGCAGCCUUCUUUCCACCAGCGUAGUAACUGAGGUACCACCGCACAAACUUCUUCAGCCCUGUCUGCAGAUCUGUUGUCGGCUUAUACCCCAGUUCUCUCUGAGCCAAACUAAUAUUCGCAUGAGUAAACGGAACAUCACCAUUUCUCGGCAACUUCAUAAUAUUUCUCUUGGCCUUAACCUUCAAAAGCCUCUCCAAAAUACUCACAAGAUCUGAAACUGGUACAGG
rnacentral:lncRNA from 1 species